AAUAUAAAGAAAGACAUAAUAAAACAUUAAACUUUUUUUUAAAAAACUUCCCUAUACAGGGCUGCAUUCAGAUGGCUUCGGGGGGGGGGGGAGCAUAACUCCAUACCCUCCAAUAUUUCUCCAAUGAAAAUAGGGACGUCCUAAGGAAAAGCAAGACUUUCCAGGAUCUAAUCAGAAACCAGGGUGAUUGGAAAAUAGGAAAAUAUGGACGCUGUCAGGAAUCGCUCCAGGUGACUCAAAAAUGGGUUUCUUUUGAAGACUGGAGGGGAAACAAUCUGAUUUUUGUUGGCUAAAUCAGAUCGACAAUGGGAAUAUUUCUUUCUCUCUUUUGAUAUUUCUCUGCUUGAAAAGAAAUGUCCACAGAUCGAUGGAUGUCCCAUUUUGUGCAGCACUGGUGAGGAUGAAAAAAGUUUUCCUGCCUUUCAAAUAACAAAACGGUGUAACACUAGAAACAAGGCUCCCAUUACUUUGAUGGUUAAAAAACAGACUCUGGGAACAAGCUCACCCCCCCCCCCCUUUCUGAUAUUUUGCAAACUUGGUCCAAAGGGCAGAUAUCACUGGAUGGCAAAGUUCUGGAGGGCUCAGAAUAUAAGCUUUUUGGUCUUUUAUUGCAGCACAUAUAAACUGUACCACAAAACCUCCAAAAUGAAGUUUUAAAUGGAUGGACGGUUGUAGCAUCUACUGGGCUUGCCUCUUUACAGUAUUUUUACUGCUGGUCCUUAAAACCCCACAAACAUCAUCAAAGCAACAUUUUACCUUCCAGCUGACAUAAAGAGAAUUGUUUUCUUGCAAGGAGUCAACGGGAGGUGAUGUUGCAAGGGAAACUGGCUCACAGCUGGUGUUCUGAAAAUGUGGUCUACCCACCCAAAGGAAUCCAAAGCUUAGCCCAGUAUUAGCAACACUGACAGGCAGCUGCCUUAUACCAAGACAAGUGAUCCAUCUAGCUCAGUGUUGUCAACACUGAAACUCUCAAGGGUUUUAGGCAAGGAUGUAGCCAGCCAUUUUUGGAGAUGCCAGGGAUUAAACCUGGGACCUUCUGUGUGCAAAGCAGAUGGUCAACCAUGGAACUAUAGAUGCUCCUGAAGAACAUAGGAAGCUGCCUUAUACUGAGUCAGGCCAUUGGUCCAUCUAGUUCAGUAUUGUCAACACUGACUGGCAGAAGCUCUCCGGGGUUUCAGAGAAGGAUCUUUCUCAGCCAUGCCUGGAGGAUGCCAGGAAUUGAUCCAGGGACUUUUUGCCUGCAAAGUAGAAGCUCUAUCACUGAGCUACAGCCAUUCUUUAAUUACAUUAGAGGAAGGAGGCCUUCUGAGCUGGAUCCAGUGUCAGCAGCACUGGGAUGGCCAGUUAAUAAAUUCAUUGGAUUCUGCCUUACACUGAGUGAGAUUGUUGGCCUGCCUAGCUCAGUAUUGCCUGCACUGGCUGGCAGUGGCUCUCCAGGUUUUCAGACAAGAAAUCCUAGCCCUACAGAGAUGCUGGAGAUGGAAUCUGGAAGUAUUUGGUGAGCUUACAACUCACCUCCCAGCUAGGAAUAACACUGAGCUGAGAUUACCAGUUGCCCUGGAGAUGCAGAACCAAAGUAUAGUGUGGCCACACCCCUCAUCUAGAGCAUGAGCCUUACUAGGUUGCAUCAUCAUGUGGGAUGCUGUACUUGAGGUGCAGGUUAAGAGAGACAGUGUGGUAUAGUAGUUAGAUUUCUGGACUAGUACCUGAGAGACCAGGGUUCAUAACUCAGUCAUGAAGCUCACUGGGUGACCUUGGGCCAUUCACUGCUCCUCAGCUAACCUCACAGAGUUGUUGUGAGGUUAAAAAGGGCAGGGCAGGAAACUAUAUAGAGUUAUCAUUAAUUAUAUUUCUAUGUUAACUUUCUUCCAAGGAGUUGAAGGUGGAAUAUAGAUGAUGAUGAUGAUGAUGAUGAUGAUGAUGAUGGGCCUAAGAAAAGGCACAGAAGCCCAUGGCCACACACACCACUUAUCACCAGAUCUCCAUUUUGUCCUUAUUAAAUCUAUGACAUGCUUGGGAAAAUAGUGCUAAUAAUUCAGCUCCCUGCUAAAGGAUCUUUGAAGCCAGGAGCUUAUUAAAGCAACAAGACUUAGCAUUUCAGUGGCACCUUUUUCUCAAAGAAACCAAAGCCCUUUGCAAACAUUACUUAACUAAAAUGAACAGCACCUCCGGGAUAUGUUGUUAUUCUAUUAUAAUACUAAUAUCGGAGGAAGGCGCAAUGAGAUCCAAGGAAGACAAGGCAAAUUUUCUUAAUGUAAAGUCCUUUAUCUCCCCCCCCACACACACCUCUUAAUAAAUGUCUGUGCAUCUCACGGCCUUGUUUCCUUCAGAUUUUUAAUUCAAGAUGCAUGCAGAAACUUUUAAUGUGCACAGUGUUUUACAUAUUUUGCUCUGCUCAUAUUUUGCUUUACCCCUGUGGAGCGUUGUUGAAACACUCCUGACAACACACAAACCCGACAUCCCACAUCUUCAACUGAUGGGAUUCAAGAUUAUGGAAGUUUUCUUUUGUUGGGGGCGGUGGAAGAUUUGCUUUAAAAAGAAAGAAAAGAAAAUGAACAAUUUCUUUCAAGCUGAAACAAAUAAAGAUUCUGUAAUUUG